rnacentral:rRNA from 1 species
UACGUAGGGACCGAGCGUUGUCCGGAUUCAUUGGGCGUAAAGAGCUCGUAGGCGGCCACUCAAGUCGAAUGUGAAACCUCGAGGCUUAACCUCGAGCCUGCAUUUGAUACUGGGCGGCUAGAGUCUGGUAGGGGGAUCUGGAAUUCCUGGUGUAGCGGUGGAAUGCGCAGAUAUCAGGAGGAACACCAAUAGCGAAGGCAGCUCGCUGGGACGUUACUGACACUGAGGCGCGAAAGCGUGGGGAGCGAACAGG